UACGUAGGGCGCAAGCGUUGUCCGGAAUUAUUGGGCGUAAAGAGCUCGUAGGUGGCGUGUCGCGUCUGCCGUGAAAGCCCAUGGCUUAACUGUGGGUCUGCGGUGGAUACGGACAGGCUGGAGGCUGGUAGGGGCAAGCGGAAUUCCUGGUGUAGCGGUGAAAUGCGCAGAUAUCAGGAGGAACACCGGUGGCGAAGGCGGCUUGCUGGGCCAGUUCUGACGCUGAGGAGCGAAAGCGUGGGGAGCGAACAGG
rnacentral:rRNA from 1 species